rnacentral:rRNA from 1 species
AUAAGGGCGCACGGUGGAUGCCUUGGCACUAGGAGCCGAUGAAGGACGGGACUAACACCGAUAUGCUUUGGGGAGCUGUACGUAAGCUAUGAUCCAGAGAUUUCCGAAUGGGGGAACCCAGCAUCUUUAAUAGGAUGUUACGAUUGUGUGAAUACAUAGCACAUUCGAGGUAGACGCAGAGAACUGAAACAUCUAAGUACCUGCAGGAAGAGAAAGAAAAUUCGAUUCCCUGAGUAGCGGCGAGCGAAACGGGAAAAGCCCAAACCAACAAGCUUGCUUGUUGGGGUUGUAGGACUCCAAUAUGGUCGUUCUUUCAGAUAGUCGAAUGACUUGGAAAAGUCAGUCAAAGAGGGUAAAAACCCCGUAGACGAAAUGUGGAAGACACCUAGGAGGAUCCUGAGUACGGCGGAACACGAGAAAUUCCGUCGGAAUCCGGGAGGACCAUCUCCCAAGGCUAAAUACUCCCUAGUGACCGAUAGUGAACCAGUACCGUGAGGGAAAGGUGAAAAGCACCCCGGAAGGGGAGUGAAAUAGAACCUGAAACCGUGUGCCUACAACAAGUCAAAGCCCGUUAAUGGGUGAUGGCGUGCCUUUUGUAGAAUGAACCGGCGAGUUACGAUUGCAUGCGAGGUUAAGUUGAAGAGACGGAGCCGCAGCGAAAGCGAGUCUGAAUAGGGCGUUUGAGUAUGUAGUCGUAGACCCGAAACCAUGUGAUCUACCCAUGUCCAGGUUGAAGGUGCGGUAAAACGCACUGGAGGACCGAACCCACGUACGUUGAAAAGUGCGGGGAUGAGGUGUGGGUAGCGGAGAAAUUCCAAACGAACUUGGAGAUAGCUGGUUCUCUCCGAAAUAGCUUUAGGGCUAGCCUCGGAAUUGAGAAUGAUGGAGGUAGAGCACUGUUUGGACUAGGGGCCCAUCUCGGGUUACCGAAUUCAGAUAAACUCCGAAUGCCAUUCAUUCAUAUCCGGGAGUCAGACUGUGAGUGAUAAGAUCCAUAGUCGAAAGGGAAACAGCCCAGACCACCAGCUAAGGUCCCAAAAUAUAUGUUAAGUGGAAAAGGAUGUGGGGUUGCACAGACAACUAGGAUGUUGGCUUAGAAGCAGCCACCAUUUAAAGAGUGCGUAAUAGCUCACUAGUCGAGUGACCCUGCGCCGAAAAUGUACCGGGGCUAAACAUAUUACCGAAGCUGUGGAGUACACCUUUAGGUGUAUUGGUAGGAGAGCGUUCUAAGGGCGUCGAAGGCAGAUCGUGAGGACUGCUGGAGCGCUUAGAAGUGAGAAUGCCGGUAUGAGUAGCGAAAGACAGGUGAGAAUCCUGUCCACCGAAUGACUAAGGUUUCCUGGGGAAGGCUCGUCCGCCCAGGGUUAGUCGGGACCUAAGCCGAGGCCGAUAGGCGUAGGCGAUGGAUAACAGGUUGAUAUUCCUGUACCCGUUGUUUUUGUUUGAGCAAUGGAGGGACGCAGGAGGCUAAGGAAUGCAGACGAUCGGAAAUGUCUGUCCAAGCAGUAAGUCUGAAGAGGAGUCAAAUGCUUCUUUUCUUAAGGACAAGCUGUGAUGGGGAGGGAAAUAAUAGUACCGAAGUUCCUGAUGUCACACUGCCGAGAAAAGCUUCUAGUGAGAAAACAGCGGCCCGUACCGCAAACCGACACAGGUAGUCGAGGAGAGAAUCCUAAGGUGAGCGAGAGAACUCUCGUUAAGGAACUCGGCAAAAUGACCCCGUAACUUCGGGAGAAGGGGUGCUGAUCAUACGAUCAGCCGCAGUGAAUAGGCCCAAGCGACUGUUUAUCAAAAACACAGGUCUCUGCAAAAUCGUAAGAUGAAGUAUAGGGGCUGACGCCUGCCCGGUGCUGGAAGGUUAAGAGGAGUGCUUAGCGCAAGCGAAGGUACGAAUUGAAGCCCCAGUAAACGGCGGCCGUAACUAUAACGGUCCUAAGGUAGCGAAAUUCCUUGUCGGGUAAGUUCCGACCCGCACGAAAGGCGUAACGAUUUGGGCACUGUCUCAACGAGAGACUCGGUGAAAUUUUAGUACCUGUGAAGAUGCAGGUUACCCGCGACAGGACGGAAAGACCCCAUGGAGCUUUACUGUAGUUUGAUAUUGAGUGUCUGUACCGCAUGUACAGGAUAGGUAGGAGCCGUAGAAAUCGGAACGCUAGUUUCGAUGGAGGCGCUGGUGGGAUACUACCCCUGCGUUAUG